CCUUGUAUAGAAUAGACGGAUAAUAUUUUAGAGUGACGAUCAAACUAUCACAGCUCUCUUUCUUCCCUAUGGCAACAAUCUCUGUGGAAAAAAGAAACAAACAUAGACAAACACCGCUGUCUAGAACGUCAGUGUUUACCGUUUUGAGAUGUUGUGGUAGUCAGCUGGAUACCAAACCUGCCGUUAGUUUUUUGGUGUUUUGGGACAUUAUUUUAACUUUUUAUAUAAACAAUCUGUGAAAUAGUUAUUCAUUAUGAACCAUGGCUUGCGUAGCUAUUGGUUGUGAGAGUAGAAUGGGUGUUAUAAUGGAGAACGAUCAAACAAUGUCUCACCAUGGGUAAAGUUAUAACGACCAGAGCCGACACUAUACACUUCUAAAGAAAGUGAACAAGAGGAAAUAUUUUUUUUUAUCACCAAAAGUCGGAAUUGUUCAGUGCUUCGUAGUCAUUGUAUUCUAACUAUAUUGAAUAAAAAUCUUAUAAAGAAA